rnacentral:ncRNA from 1 species
GUUUCAGGGCGGAGUGAAAUUCUCCACCGGUGGUAAAGUCCACGAGCCGAAGCAGGCGGAUAUUAAAGCUGAAAGCUGUAUCUGCGUGUAAAGGUUGAUUCGGUGAAAUUCCGAAACCGACGGUAUAGUCCGGAUGAAAGAAU